AGAGCAAUAUUAUGAUUGUUGUGCGAACAAAGUAAUCAACAUCACAAACUAGUCAAAAAAAAUAACACAUGUGUGAUGCAUCAGCCAUCACACACGUAUCUUUUUCCGUGUGAUAAUUUUAUUUUCCUAUUAUUUGCGAUGUGUGAAUCGCACAUAGGUUUAGUCCAAGUCUAGGCUUUAGUUUGAAAGACGAAAUGCUCAAGAACUUGGUACUUCCUAUAAAUUAGGGGCAAAAUUGUUCGCUUUUACAUAUGAUUUAGUGAGUUAAAAUGUCAAUAAGCAACAUUUUCAUACAAUUAUAAAUUACAUAGGUAAUGCCACCAUUAUUCGUCGACGUUGAGCUUACACCGGCCUUUCCGACCAGGUCUACUCAGAGUCGAUCGGAGUCCAUGACCACCACUUUUGCCUAUGAAGGCUCUUGGUUGUGUCUGAACUCAUGCAUGCGUUCAUCCAAGCGGUUGAUAUGCUCGGGGUACAAGUGAAGUGCGAUCUCGACCUACGCUCUUGCUAUUCUAGGAGAUCAUCAGGUCCAAGGCACGACAACCAUGUUGCUCUACUUUGCUGCGGGUGUCACCGGGGCCAAGAACUGUUGGAAAUAUGCCCUAGAGGCAAUGAUAAAUAGUUAUUAUUAUAUUUCCUGUUACAAAGAUAAUCAUUUAUUAUCCAUGCUAUAAUUGUAUUGAAUGAAAACAUAGAUACAUGUGUGGAUACAUAGACAAAAAAAUGUCCCUAGCAAGCCUCUAGUUGGCUAGCCAGUUCAUCAAUGAUAGUCAAGGUUUUCUGACUAUAUGCAAGUGUUGUCACUUGAUAACUGGAUCGCAUCAUUAGGAGAAUCAUGUGAUGGACUAGACCCAAACUAUGAACGUAGCAUGUUGAUUGUGUCAUUUUAUUACUAUUGUUUUCUGCGUGUCAAGUAUUUAUUCCUAUGACCAUGAGAUCAUAUAACUCACUUGCACCGGGGGAAUACCUUGUGUGCAUCAAACGUCGCAACAUAACUAGGUGACUAUAAAGGUGCUCUACAGGUAUCUCCGAAGGUGUCCGUUGAGUUAG
rnacentral:lncRNA from 1 species